AUUGAACGCUGGCGGCGUGCUUUACACAUGCAAGUCGGACGAGUGGCGGACGGGUGAGUAACGCAUCGGAACGUGCCGAGUAAUGGGGGAUAACUGCCCGAAAGGGCAGCUAAUACCGCAUAUUAUUCGAGCGGCCGAUAUCGGAUUAGCUGGUUGGCGGGGUAAAGGCCCACCAAGGCGACGCUCAGUAGCUGGUCUGAGAGGAUGAUCAGCCACACUGGGACUGAGACACGGCCCAGACUCCUACGGGAGGCAGCAGUGGGGAAUUGUGGACAAUGGGCGAAAGCCUGAUCCAGCCAUGCCGCGUGUCUGAAGAAGGCCUUCGGGUUGUAAAGGACUUUUGUCAGGGAAGCGGUACCUGCAGAAUAAGCACCGGCUAACUACGUGCCAGCAGCCGCGGUAAUAC
rnacentral:rRNA from 1 species